GGUUAAGUGACUAAGCGUACACGGUGGAUGCCUGGGCAGUCAGAGGCGAUGAAGGACGUACUAACUUGCGAUAAGCGCAGAUAAGGCAGUAAGAGCCGUUUGAGUCUGCGAUUUCCGAAUGGGGAAACCCAACUGCAUAAGCAGUUACUGUUAACUGAAUACAUAGGUUAACAGAGCAAACCGGGGGAACUGAAACAUCUAAGUACCCCGAGGAGAAGAAAUCAACCGAGAUUCCGGUAGUAGCGGCGAGCGAACCUGGAUUAGCCCUUAAGCACUCGGUGAAGUAGGUGAACAAGCUGGAAAGCUUGGCGAUACAGGGUGAUAGCCCCGUAACCGACGCUUCAUCGAGCGUGAAAUCGAGUAGGGCGGGACACGUGAUAUCCUGUCUGAAUAUGGGGGGACCAUCCUCCAAGGCUAAAUACUCCUGACUGACCGAUAGUGAACCAGUACCGUGAGGAAAGGCGAAAAGAACCCCUGUGAGGGGAGUGAAAUAGAACCUGAAACCGUGUACGUACAAGCAGUAGGAGCACCUUCGUGGUGUGACUGCGUACCUUUUGUAUAAUGGGUCAGCGACUUAUAUUCAGUGGCAAGGUUAACCGUAUAGGGGAGCCGUAGCGAAAGCGAGUCUUAACUGGGCGCUCAGUCUCUGGAUAUAGACCCGAAACCGGGUGAUCUAGCCAUGGGCAGGUUGAAGGUUGAGUAACAUCAACUGGAGGACCGAACCGACUAAUGUUGAAAAAUUAGCGGAUGACUUGUGGCUAGGGGUGAAAGGCCAAUCAAACUCGGAGAUAGCUGGUUCUCCCCGAAAGCUAUUUAGGUAGCGCCUCGGACGAAUACUACUGGGGGUAGAGCACUGUUAAGGCUAGGGGGUCAUCCCGACUUACCAACCCUUUGCAAACUCCGAAUACCAGUAAGUACUAUCCGGGAGACACACGGCGGGUGCUAACGUCCGUCGUGGAGAGGGAAACAACCCAGACCGCCAGCUAAGGUCCCAAAGUAUUGCUAAGUGGGAAACGAUGUGGGAAGGCUCAGACAGCUAGGAUGUUGGCUUAGAAGCAGCCAUCAUUUAAAGAAAGCGUAAUAGCUCACUAGUCGAGUCGGCCUGCGCGGAAGAUGUAACGGGGCUAAGCAAUACACCGAAGCUGCGGCAAUAUCUUUUAGAUAUUGGGUAGGGGAGCGUUCUGUAAGCCGUUGAAGGUGAAUCGUAAGGUUUGCUGGAGGUAUCAGAAGUGCGAAUGCUGACAUGAGUAACGACAAAGGGGGUGAAAAACCUCCUCGCCGGAAGACCAAGGGUUCCUGUCCAACGUUAAUCGGGGCAGGGUGAGUCGACCCCUAAGGUGAGGCCGAAAGGCGUAAUCGAUGGGAAACGGGUUAAUAUUCCCGUACUUCUGACUAUUGCGAUGGGGGGACGGAGAAGGCUAGGUGGGCCAGGCGACGGUUGUCCUGGUUCAAGUGCGUAGGCUUGAGAGUUAGGUAAAUCCGGCUCUCUCUAAGGCUGAGACACGACGUCGAGCUACUACGGUAGUGAAGUCAUUGAUGCCAUGCUUCCAGGAAAAGCCUCUAAGCUUCAGAUAGUCAGGAAUCGUACCCCAAACCGACACAGGUGGUCGGGUAGAGAAUACCAAGGCGCUUGAGAGAACUCGGGUGAAGGAACUAGGCAAAAUGGUACCGUAACUUCGGGAGAAGGUACGCUCUUGAUGGUGAAGUCCCUCGCGGAUGGAGCUGACGAGAGUCGCAGAUACCAGGUGGCUGCAACUGUUUAUUAAAAACACAGCACUGUGCAAAAUCGCAAGAUGACGUAUACGGUGUGACGCCUGCCCGGUGCCGGAAGGUUAAUUGAUGGGGUUAGCGCAAGCGAAGCUCUUGAUCGAAGCCCCGGUAAACGGCGGCCGUAACUAUAACGGUCCUAAGGUAGCGAAAUUCCUUGUCGGGUAAGUUCCGACCUGCACGAAUGGCGUAAUGAUGGCCACGCUGUCUCCACCCGAGACUCAGUGAAAUUGAAAUCGCUGUGAAGAUGCAGUGUACCCGCGGCUAGACGGAAAGACCCCGUGAACCUUUACUACAGCUUGGCACUGAACAUUGAACCUACAUGUGUAGGAUAGGUGGGAGGCUAUGAAGACGUGACGCCAGUUGCGUUGGAGCCGUCCUUGAAAUACCACCCUUGUAUGUUUGAUGUUCUAACUUAGACCCGUUAUCCGGGUUGAGGACAGUGCCUGGUGGGUAGUUUGACUGGGGCGGUCUCCUCCCAAAGAGUAACGGAGGAGCACGAAGGUGGGCUAAUCACGGUUGGACAUCGUGAGGUUAGUGCAAUGGCAUAAGCCCGCUUAACUGCGAGAAUGACGGUUCGAGCAGGUGCGAAAGCAGGUCAUAGUGAUCCGGUGGUUCUGUAUGGAAGGGCCAUCGCUCAACGGAUAAAAGGUACUCCGGGGAUAACAGGCUGAUACCGCCCAAGAGUUCAUAUCGACGGCGGUGUUUGGCACCUCGAUGUCGGCUCAUCACAUCCUGGGGCUGAAGUCGGUCCCAAGGGUAUGGCUGUUCGCCAUUUAAAGUGGUACGCGAGCUGGGUUUAGAACGUCGUGAGACAGUUCGGUCCCUAUCUGCCGUGGGCGUUGGAAGAUUGAAGGGGGCUGCUCCUAGUACGAGAGGACCGGAGUGGACGAACCUCUGGUGUUCGGGUUGUGUCGCCAGACGCAUUGCCCGGUAGCUAAGUUCGGAAUUGAUAAGCGCUGAAAGCAUCUAAGCGCGAAGCGAGCCCUGAGAUGAGUCUUCCCUGACAGUUUAACUGUCCUAAAGGGUUGUUCGAGACUAGAACGUUGAUAGGCAGGGUGUGUAAGCGUUGUGAGGCGUUGAGCUAACCUGUACUAAUUGCCCGUGAGGCUUAACCAU
rfam:Vibrio cholerae O1 biovar eltor str. N16961 chromosome I, complete sequence.